CCAUUUCAAAGGAGGCAGCAGGCGCGCAAUUACCCAAUCCUGACUCAGGGGGGUAGUGACAAGAAAUAACAAUAAACCGGCUUAUGCCGGUUUAAUUGGAAUGAGUACAAUUUAAACAUCUUAACGAGGAACAAUUGGAGGGCAAGUCUGGUGCCAGCAGCCGCGGUAAUUCCAGCUCCAAUAGCGUAUACUAAAGUUGUUGCAGUUAAAAAGCUCGUAGUUGGAUUUCUGUGGGGACGGAGCGGCCGGCCGCACAUCGCGGUUCGAGCUAGCGCUUUCCCUACAUCCUGCCGCGAACCGUGCUACCAUUAGUUUGGUGGCGCCGGGGAUCGGCUCGAUUACUUUGAGAAAAAUAGAGUGUUCAAAGCAGGCCACAUGCCUUGAAUAAGUUAGCAUGGAAUAAUAACUAAGGACUUCGGUUCUAUUUUGUUGGUGUUCGGGACUGAAGUAAUGAUUGAUAGGGACAGUUGGGGCGGUCUGUAUUCCAAAGCGAGAGGUGAAAUUCUUAGACCUUCGGAAGACAAACAGCUGCGAAAGCGUUCCGCAAGGAUGCUCCCUUUGAUCAAGAACGAAAGUUGGGGGAUCGAAGACGAUCAGAUACCGUCGUAGUCUCAACUAUAAACUAUACCAGCUAGGGAUCGGCCAACGUUAUUUUAUACCGACUUGGUCGGCACCUUAUGAGAAAUCAAGGCAUCUGGGUUCCGGGGGGAGUAUGGUCGCAAGGCUGAAACUUAAAGGAAUUGACGGAAGGGCACCACCAGCCGUGGAGCCUGUGGCUUAAUUUGACUCAACACGGGAAAACUUACCAGGUCCAGACAUAGUAAGGAUUGACAGAUUGAUAGCUCUUUCUUGAUUCUGUGGGUGGUGGUGCAUGGCCGUUCUUAGUUGGUGGAGUGAUUUGUCUGGUUAAUUCCGUUAACGAACGAGACCCCAGCCUGCUAAAUAGCGCGCGUGAGCUUUGCUCGCGGCGAGCUUCUUAGAGGGACUAUGAUGCGCGAUAGCACAUGGAAGUUUGGGGCAAUAACAGGUCUGUGAUGCCCUUAGAUGUUCUGGGCCGCACACGGGCUACACUGGCGCCUGCAACGAGCAUAUCAGCUGGCCCGAGAGGGUCUUGGCUAAUCUUUUGAACCGGCGCCGUGCUUGGGAUUGACCUUUGCAAUUGUUGGUCAUGCAACGAGGAAUGCCUUGUAAACGCGAGUCAUCAGCUCGCAUUGAAUACGUCCCUGCCCUUUGUACACACCGCCCGUCGCUCCUACCGAUGAAUGUUCCGAUGAAAUUUUCGGAGAGCACCCGUGAACUUGGCUCUGCCUUGCGAACGGGAGGCUCAAAGUCACAUAAAUCCUAUCAUUAG
rnacentral:rRNA from 1 species